rnacentral:rRNA from 1 species
UACGUAGGGUGCGAGCGUUAAUCGGCAUUACUGGGCGUAAAGUGUGCGCAGGCGGCCGAGCAAGUCGAGUGUGAAAGCCCCGAGCUUAACUUGGGAACUGCGCUCGAAACUACUUGGCUAGAGUGUGGCAGAGGGAGGUGGAAUUCCACGUGUAGCGGUGAAAUGCGCAGAUAUCAGGAGGAACACCGGUGGCGAAGGCGGGUCUCUGGGCCGUAACUGACGCUGAGGAGCGAAAGCGUGGGGAGCGAACAGG